rnacentral:rRNA from 1 species
GACGAACGCUGGCGGCGUGCUUAACACAUGCAAGUCGAACGGUAAGGCCCUUCGGGGUACACGAGUGGCGAACGGGUGAGUAACACGUGGGUGAUCUGCCCUGCACUUCGGGAUAAGCCUGGGAAACUGGGUCUAAUACCGGAUAGGACCCUGGGAUGCAUGUCCUGGGGUGGAAAGCUUUUGCGGUGUGGGAUGGGCCCGCGGCCUAUCAGCUUGUUGGUGGGGUGAUGGCCUACCAAGGCGACGGCGGGUAGCCGGCCUGGGAGGGUGACCGGCCACACUGGGGCUGAGAUACGGCCCAGACUCCUACGGGGGGCAGCAGUGGGGAAUAUUGCUCAAUGGGCGCAAGCCUGAUGCAGCGACGCCGCGUGAGGGAUGACGGCCUUCGGGUUGUAAACCUCUUUCAGUAGGGACGAAGCGAAAGUGACGGUACCUAAAGAAGAAGCGCCGGCUAACUACGUGCCAGCCGCCGCAGUAA